rnacentral:rRNA from 1 species
GACGAACGCUGGCGGCGUGCCUAAUACAUGCAAGUGAAGUUCAGUGGCGGACGGGUGAGUAAUGCCUAGGAAUCUGCCUGGUAGUGGGGGUUAACGUCCGGGAACGUGCGCUAAUACCGCAUACUAACACAUAAGCCUAGGUCGGAUUAGCUAGUUGGUGGGGUAAAGGCCUACCAAGGCGACGAUCCGUAACUGGUCUGAGAGGAUGAACAGCCACACUGGAACUGAGACACGGUCCAGACUCCUACGGGAGGCAGCAGUGGGGAAUAUUGGACAAUGGGCGCAAGCCUGAUCCAGCCAUGCCGCGUGUGUGAAGAAGGUCUUCGGAUUGUAAAGCACUUUAAGUUGGGAGGCGUUACCGACAGAAUAAGCACCGGCUAACUUCGUGCCAGCCGCCGCGGUAAUAC